CUUCAGCUGGGUUAAUCCCCAAAGAACCACUGUUUCCUAGGAAGAACAGUUGAUUCCAUACCUUGCUUUUCUAGUCCUAACGGCCAUGUCGACAUAUCCAGCUGUGACAAGAUGAAGGACCACGAUUUGGGACUCUUCAGGGACAGACUUGGCCACCUGGUGAUGUGCCACCUUCAGCAGCUCUGUCUUCACACGUCCAGCCUGCACCUGCUUCAUGCAGUGCACAAGACUGUUCUGGCACACCACGACCAUGACCUUCACAUGAGGCCAGUCUCCCCGCCCUCACCUGGGCCGUAGAGAAAGGAUGCUGCUGUGAAGAUGUAAAGGGUGGAGCCUCAGCAGCCAUCUUGUGACUAUGAGACCAUAAGCAGGAAGACCCAAGGCAACCAUAGGGAAUGGUGGAACAAAGGAAUGGACAGAGCCCAGGGCUUGGAGAGCAUCAUUCACUCACUGCCCCACGCCUAAAGUCGCCAAUUCUCAGACCUCGUGUCUUGCGAUGAGAUGCCUUUAUCACUAAAACUACUCUCAGUCCAGGCUGCCACCUGCACCCAAAUGCAACGUAGCUGAAAUAAAAGGUGUGAUGGUGUAUAUCCCCCUAAGGCUAAGAGGCCCUAGCAGCCAGGACUCAGCCUUUCCAGGGUCUGUGUUUCAUAAAAUAGCCCUGAAGGAUGUCA
rnacentral:antisense_RNA from 1 species